CUGGUGUGGAUUUUGAUCUCUUCGAGUAUUCUGGUAUGUUUUAACGUGUUGCAAUCCCCCCCCCCUUUUUUUUGCAAACGGCGCUGCAAGCGGCGUAUAAAUCGCGCAAAAAACAAACGAAUGCAAAAUAGAGAGUCGCGCCUCCCUCCUCUUCCUUCUCUGAGGGGCGAGGAGGAGCUCGCGUGUGGGGCCUCCUCCCGGCCAGGAAGAUGUGCAGAGACACGCCGCUCGGAGACGAACUGCAACCGGCAAGGGCGGGAGGAGGAGAAAAAGAGGUGGGGGGGGGUAAGAGAGAGAGCGCGCGCGAGAGAGAAUGGCUCACUGCAGGCAGGCGGGAUCUGGCUCCGCUGGAAAGGUGCCCUGAACAAAAACCCAGCGCGAGCGGGCAGGUGAUGACAACAUCGCCGCGCUAUUUAUGGCGCGUUGUGACAAUCGCGGCCUUAUAUGGGCAAGGCGAGGGAGACCGGCGGGACGCGCGCUCUCGCCCUUGCUCUGGGAAGAGGGAGGCGCCUCGAGGGAGGGAGGCGCGCGCGCUCCCGAGCCCCGCGCCUGUCCGCUUGAGAGAAAACCCACUGACCUCGUUUCCUUGGGAAAAUCCCUCUCAAAUCCAGCUGCGACGAGAGGCGCCCACCUGACUCACACACUGUGAGUGUGCCGGAUUUACGUAUAAGCUAAACAAGCUAUAGCUUCGGGCACCACUCUCUUGGGGCUCCCCCCCCGAAAAUUAAAGGGGGGGAACCUGGAUGUACAUUUCCAAAAUAUAAGAUAAAAAAACAAAUAAAAUAAAACCUACAUACGGCAACAGUGGCAAAUGGCUUUAGAUACCUAUUAGGUCCAUAAAUUACCAUAUGGCAUAUGUUCAACACAAAAAAGCGACAAUUUGUUGUUGACAAAGGACAGCUGGACAUAUAAAGGGCCCCAUUACCUUCAGUAGCUUAGGGCCUCAUCAAACCUAAAUCCGGCCCUGCUCACCGACCCACCCUGUGAUCACCUUUUCCCCUACCUGGCCGCAAAGCACCACCGGAUGCGCUGGCUUCGUUGAUGCAACUGGAUGCAGGGGUGGGGUGGGGUAGAUCACCCUCUCCUUGAGGGAGAAAGAGGCUUCGCCAGAAAAUAGUAUUAUUAAAAACAAACAAACAAACAAAAAACCCUUAGGCCCAGAUCUGGUUGCCAACAGAGAUUACAACACAAAGCAAGGAAGCUGUACUUUGCUUGCACUAAUGACUGCCGAAGGAAAGGGCGAGGAAGAGGCAUAGAUAAGCCACAUGCUCGCCCAGAGGUGGGCAAGGGUGGCCCUCCAUAUGUUGAGGGAUGCCAACGCCCAUCAGACCCAGCCAGCAUGGCCAUCAGUCGGGGAUGAUGGGAGCUGUAGCCAACAAUGUCUGGAUGGGGCAACGGUUAUGAGUUUCAAGAGUCGUCUGCCCUCCUAGUAACCCACCCAAGAACAUCACAGCUCUUUGGAAAGUUUAAUUUCCCAAAAGGUUGGAAAGAUUGCGCAAAGUGGGUGGAGUGGGGCUGACUGGAUUCCCUCAGCAGCAAGCGAAAGGCGUUUUGCAUAUGCUCAUAGACAGGCAUAUGUGUGGCAUGAUGGGAAAGCGCCCGACUCAUUUGAUAGUAGAAGUAAGUUGUCCUCUCUCAGCAUCCCAUCUGUAAUGGGGAUGAUGACCCGUCUAAUUUACAGGGUUGUUAAAAGAUUGCAGCAUAAAGAUACUUAAUAGUUUCCAGGUUUGAGUCCUGGCAUGAAAACAUAUUUAGGGACAAAGCCCCAGUUCAAUAUAGUGUUGCAAUCCAUUGAUGUCAGCGGGAUUAACAACAAAGCCAAUAGGGUCAAGAAGCCAGUUGGAAAGUCCAGCUCUUGGAAUAUAAUGACUACUAUUUCUAAACACUCCCACCUCCCUCUGAAUUUUUGCCAUUUACUUUUUUGGGAGAUAACUGGCAAGACUCCUAGAGCUGAAAGGAGGUAGAAGGUUAGCAAGUCAAACCACUCUUCCCUGAAGUCCUUUUGUAUUGGGGCUCCCAACGAUUGAAUAACACAAUUCAAAAGACUAUUGCUGUUAGCCUGCCAUAGCAAAGCAAAACAGCCUUAAUAGCUAACACAUUUUUAGUAGUAUGAGAUUUUGUAGACAAGGUCUUGCUUCAUCAGAUGCAAUUAAUGAAGUGGAAUCUUGCAAGAGCAACUCCACAAGAAAUUUCAUGUCAUAUGUUUCUAAACUUGUUUCCUCAAAAGUAAGCCUCUCUGGGUUCAGGUUUAAGCAGAAGCUCCACUUUGAAAGCUGAGGAACCUGAAGAAUUUGCUAGUUGUUGUUGUUUUUAAGUCAAAACACUUUGUAUUUAAGGGUAAAGACUUUCUAUUGGGCAAUAAUGAAGAGUACUGCUUAUAGAAGCCCAAAGUUAUUGUAACAGUACCACAAGCACAUAGCUUCAAUAACAUAUACCGUAUUUUUCGCCCUAUAGGACGCACUUUUUCCCCUCCAAAAAUGAAGGGGAAAUGUGUGUGCGUCCUAUGGGGUGAAUGCAGGCUUUCGCUGAAGCCUGGAGAGUGAGAGGGGACGGUGUGCACCCACCCCUCUUGUUCUCCAGGCUUCAGGAAGCUAUCCGCAAGCCUGGGGAGCCCGCGGGAGUUCCCACCGGGCUCCCUAGGCUUGCGGAUAGCAGCCUGCAUCUCGAAACCUGGGGCGCAAAGCGGAGCGCGCUCCGGGCUUCGCGCAGCUCUCCGCAAGCCAUGGGAGCCCGGCGCGACUUCGCGCUGGGCUCCCACGGCUGGCGGAGAGCUGCCUGUUCUGGGGGCUGGGGUUGGGGGAAGCUCGGGCUUCCCCCGCCCCAGCCCCGUGCCUGGGGGGGAGAAAUAAUUCCCCCCCUUUAUUCCCCCCCCCCAAACCUAGGUGCACCCUAUGGGCCGGUGUGCCCUAUGGGGCGAAAAAUACGGUAAGCUGUAUUUUAAAAAACACCAUAGUACUAAGCCUUAACUUGUUAGAAAAUGCCUUCCUGGUCAUAAAUAUGACAAAGCCUGAGCAUGAAGCAAAGCACAUCCAUCAGUUCUCUCUGCGUCCCCCUCCAAAUACUAAUUAGGGCACAAGUCCAUUGCCAACUGACAACUAAAACUCAACCUGCUCUGCUCCUGUUCUUUUAACAGUUUGGCAUGCAGAAAUCAAUAGAGGAUUUUCUGGGCCUGGCUCUAAAACACUUAUUGCCUGCUAAUUGCUGCAGAUCCCACUGCUGUUAAAGCUAGAAAGGCCAGCUCAAAACCAGGCAGCCUUACAAGUGCAUCCCACCCAGUGUUUUGCCUUGAGUUGCAGAGCAUAUGAAGUAAAGGUUUUUUAAGGGGUGGUCCUGUUUGAAGCUGUGUGAACACAUUCUGGAUAUGCAAGAACGAAUGCCUGUGUGGCUUUGUCUAUGUUAUCUCGGCUCAAGCAGCUCUGCAGCUGGGCAGCCACAGAUCUAGUUUCCUUUUGUGUCCCCGCAGAGAUGUUUACAUUUAAGCUAAGGUCUGGUCAGGUAGCUUCUACAUUACUCAUCUGCCAGUUAUGAUUAUGCUCCUGCAACCUUGAAAUAGUAUAUAAACCUUGCUUCCAGCUAGUGGGGAGAGAUGACAGACAUCACUGCUUUUGUAUACCUCUACGGGCCUUUGCUGCUCUCAUCCCACAGCUGUGAAGCACAACCUUUCAAAGCAUGCAGAAAAAAAUAAGUAGACUAAUAGACUAACCAAAUGUUUUAAAAAUGGCAUCAGUGUGAGAGAAAGAAUCCAAGACACUGAGUGCUGAAGCCCGUGGUAAUAUAUACUAUAUAAUUAAUGUCCUACUUGAUAGUCUCUCUUUGGUGUUCCAGCACCUACAGCAGAGCUUAAGAAAAAAGAAAUGAUGUAAAAGGGUUUCUCUGAAUCUCUUAAGAGUGGUUUGGAACCACUGAUGUAUGUCACUGAACAAUAAAGAGAAAGACUUCUGUGAUUGGACAGCAAGUUGCUGUUGUGGCGCCCUCCUUGUGGAAUGCCCUCCCUUCAGAUGUCAAGGAGAUAAAUAACUAUACAACUUGUAGAAGACAUCUGAAGGCGGAUCCGUAUGGGAAAGUUUUUAAUGUUUGGUGUUUUAUUAUGUUUUUGUAUGUGUUAGGAGACACCCAGAGUAGCUGGGGCAACCCAGUCAGAUGGGCAGGGUAUUAACAACAACAAUAUCCUUUUGCAGCAGCUGAAGUACAAAAAGCCACCACUACUCUUAGCAGUACAAUCUCAGGACUCAGCUAUUGUGAUGUGAAAUGCAUCUUUGCAAAUAACAUCAGCUGCAGAGGGCUGAUAGAUAAUUAAGAUGAACAGAGCACAGAGUGGGGUGGUAAGUGUUAAAUUCAUCCAUGGUGCUUGCUCUGAGAUCCUGUUAAUUAUUAGUUCAGGUGGAAUUGACGGAACAGCUGAUGGAAUUCACUUUUUUUAUUUUAAAGCUUGCAUGUUAAACGUAGUGCUGCAUUCAAUGUCAUGCCUCUUUCGGCCGUUACACAUGUUUGGCACUGGAAGCAAAAUCUCAAAAUAACCCCCUUCCCACUCAUUCAUUUUAAUGAACCCAACCAUGGAGGCUCGCUGCAGGAAAAGGGUGGAAGACUCUUCUGAAAUACGCCAGAGCAAUUGCUUGAGCCCCACCCUUCCCAGAGCAAGAUGCCAAGGUUGCCUCUAGCUACUUUGUAGGAGGGCUUCUCCACACAAGCCCAGCACAUGCAAACAGAGCAGACAAUGCCAUUUCUGGUUCCCACUGCUUUAGGUUGGGUUUUGUUGUCCUAGCGGAGUAACUUUAAACCAGGGUUCCCAUCCCUGAAAUAAUAUCUGCUGCCCCCUCCCCAUAUUUGGUGGUGCUGAUGUUGAGGGCAACAGGAACAUGAGGAAGAGUGUCUGAAACUGCAGCCAAUCCCAUCCAGUUCUGUGGCUCAAGAAUUGUCAUGGGGCCCCAGUUCCUUUUUAUUCCCAACCUUCACAGAAGACAUUUCCUCCCCUGCCUCUCCCCAGUGUCUCUUCCUACUGCUGUUGCUUUAGUUUAAUUUUCAUUUUGUUGCCAGGAGGUUAGGGGGAUGUCAGAGUCAACAUCUGCAAUGGAGAUAACAUUCCUGCCUAAUUAGUGGACUGUGAGCAGAAAGGACUUCCUGUCCCCUCCCCUUAAAGGACAGCAAAACCAGCUUACACUAGAGGAGAAGGAAGGUCCACUCUCCAGCUUGGUGAUGUGUCCAUCAAUACACUCCAGGGAAACUUCUUUCUUUUUUUUUUUGCAGGGUCUCUUGUUUCCCACAGUCUGAGUUCAUCCUCCUACCGCAAAGUUAGCAGUUGCUACUUGGAAACAUAUUUGGAGACUUAAGGCAUUUUUAAGUGUCUUGGAACACCAGAAAUGCUUUGAAGCUUUUUCCAAUUCUGCUCUGUUAUAGAUACCCAGGCAAGGACUUUCCAGACACGCAAGGCAUACCAUGCAGGGGUGUUGCUAGAUACUUAUAAAGACUCUGGGCACCUAAAAUGUGCCUAUGCUAAUAUAGAGGUGUAAGUAUAGUCUGACUUUCCAAGGAGAAGAGCAAACCCUGGUUCUUUCUACCAGGGCUUGCUUUAAGCUAAGAGGUGCCAGCAGGAUUUUCUGGGCCUGGUCAGCAGGACGUCUUGCAAAGCACAAAGCCAGUGAGACCCCAGCUAGCCAUGAACUUAAUUUACAGAAGCUCCAGAUCCACACACAGCAGCAGCCUUUGCCAACCUGGUGCCUCUCCAGAAGUUUUGGACAACUACUCCCAAACUGGACACGGUAGUUUCAUUAGAAAUGGAUAGGACAAUAAGAAAACGGACUCAAAAGAAGGUAGACUAUCUUUGACUUUUUUCAAUCUGGUGGGGAAUUUAAAAUUGACUGAUGUUUGGCAAUUUAGACACCCAUUUGAAAGAGAAUACACCCCUUAUGCAAAGCCAAAUCAAUCUGCCAGAAGAAUUGACUCAAUAUGGCUAUCAAAUGAGUUAAUACUGAGAAUAAAAAGAACUGAAAUACAACCAAAGACUUUAUCAGAUCACAAUCCAGUGUUAUUAGAGGUUAAAUUUAGGUGGAGGUUAAAUAAAAGUAUUCUAGAUAAUCAAGUAACCAUGCAAAAAGCUCUCUCUUUUCUGAUCUAAAAAUUUAAUAGUUGGCAGGAAUCCUUAGGCUUAGUCAAAUGGAGGUUACCUGAGCAUUUCUCAGGCUGGCCCUUAAAUCCACGUUUCCAGUUUCCCAUUCCAUUGCUCAUUCCCGCUCAGCUAACAGCCAGACAAAAGUGUCUCCUCCUCCAAUCUUGGUUUUGCAGAGCCCCUCCUUCCUUGUCUGUGUGCCCUCCAUCCCUUUCUCUUGCACAAUGACUCUUACCAUCACAGAAUCCCCUAUGUGUUGUCUGUAGUUUUAUGAACAUUGUCUGUGUCACCGGUGAGUGCUGCUGUGAAUCAUGCAUGACAGCAUAGCUUCCAUUGUUGCUAGGUUUGAUUUCACUGCUAGGAAAGUGUAAGUGUCCCACUAACUUUACAUCAGUGCCCGAUAAGACCCAACAUAGCGGCAGCAGCCAUCUUAGCUGGACCAUAUGAUUGCACUGAAAGAUGUGUGAAGUGGUCUGAAAUGCAGGACAGGAAUUGCUUGUCUGUAGCGGCUCCAACCUCAUGAAAUUUGCUUUUACUACUAAGACCGCCCUAACCUGAUGUUUCAAAGCUACCUUUCUGGGCAGGGAAGAUCCAUGGUACAGCUGCUGCUGCCUGCAGAGCUUCACUCGUGUUGUGGUGAGGCAGUGCGGUAUAGUGGUUAGAGUGCUGGAUGAGGAGCUGGGAGACCAGGGUUCAAAGCCUUACUCACCCAUGAAACUCACAGGGAGACCUCACCCUAACCUUCCUGCUGUGAGGAUAAAAAGAGGUGGAGAACCAUGGUCAGUACCUUGAGUUCCUUGGAGGAACGUUGGUAUAUGAAUAUAAUAAGGCCUCCCCCUGACAUGACCCCCACAGCAAGCACCCUACUCUUGGUCCCUCCAUGCUUGAAGAAUCACAAGUGAGUCAGUACUGGUGGUAGAUAGCUCAGGGGCUGCAGGCCUUGGCCCAGCAUACCUGAAGGAGCCUCUCCACCCCCAUUGUUCAGCCCAGACACUGAGGUCCAGUACUGAGGGCCUUUUGGCGAUUCCCUCACUGCGAGAAGUGGUUACAGAGAACCAGGCAGAAGGCCUUCUCGGUAGUGGCACCCGCCCUGUGAAACGCCCUCCCAUCAGAUGUCAAGGAAAUAAACAACUACCUGACUUUUAGAAGACAUCUGAGGGCAGCCCUGUUUAGGGAAGUUUUUAAUGUUUGAAGUUUUAUUCUGUUUUUAAUGUUCUCUUGAAAGCUGCCCAGAGUGGCUGGGGAAACCCAGCCAGAUGUGUGGGGUAGAAACAACAACAACAACAACAACAACAACGUGUAGCAGGCAGCUCAGGCCUACAACCCUUCAAUGCUGCUUCCUGCUCAAUAGUAUCUGCUGCCUAAGGCAGUUGCCGCAUGGUGCCCAAUGGCAGGGCUGGGUCUGGCUCCCUGUGAUAUUUAAAACAGAACCACUUCUCACCUGCACCAAAAAUGUGUUGGCACUUCCAGGCCUAAUGUUUCCGGAGCCAGCCAUCCCCAGUCCUUUUUAGAAUGAUAGAGCUGGAAGGGAUUGCAAGAGCUAUCUAAUCCAGCCUCCUACAACACAGGAAUCAAGGGAAGUCUAAUAAAUUGCUAGGGGCACCACAAAAUAUGCCUUUUACAGAAGGAAAACUGCCAAUGCUCAAAACCUCCUCCUGCCCCAACGGGACACUAGGUAAAACCAAUGAAAGUCAGACAAACAAAGCCAGACCACCUCCCAAAAAAGAAAAUUGGGUAACCCAAACGACGACAACAAACAUUAAAAAUAAAACUGGAAGGAGCAGGGCCCAGGGCAGACUUCAAGGGUGGUGUCUGAGGGUAUUGUGGUGUCCACAGAUGCCAUGUUGGUGACCCCAGCUGUAAGCCAUGCCACCCAACUCUUCUGGUUCUGCCUAGGCUUCUUAGCAGCCUCUUCCUGCUAGCAUUGCCUUCCUCCCAUGUCCGUCGCUCACAAGCAUCUACUCUACUUGGAAGAAGCAAAGCUUGCAUCUACACUACCAAAGCUCGAAACAAGUUAAAGUACUGUAUGUCACUCUAAAAGGCUUGUGAUUAGGGAUUAAUAUCCCCAGGGAAAGAAGGAAAAAUGUGGAGAGCUAGAGAGCAUGUUGUGGAUGCAGGGGGAGGCUUCCUGUCCAUUGCCAAAAAGCUGUUUAAUUAUAAACACUGAACAAUAGCUCUUCUUGUUUCUGGAGCUACUAAAUCAGACACCUGCAGGGCUUGAAGGACGACAAGGACCUUCCUGCAUGUGUGUCUGACUUUUGAAAGAAGAAAAAAAACAAAAAACACCCAGCAGUUUACAUUCUGGUUAAUCUUCUUUGUUCCCUGCUGAGUUAACAGUGAAGCGGAAUAUUUCAGCCUCAGAGAGGAGGAUGUGGUUACUCUGCCCUGCCUCUUUGGAGAUGUAGUCUCAUCUUUCAGACAUGUUUCUCUAAGCAGCCAGGGGGGUGAUUUUCUGCAUUAACCCUGAGUGAGCUCUUAGCCUCCUGCAGAGCAUAGUUUAUCCAGCGUUAGUCACUGCCUUAGGGGGAGACGCUGAGAUCCUCCCAUGAUGCUCAAAAAGUACUGCAUAAGACUGCUGCAGGACAGAUUUACUAGCCAACUAUUUAAGGUGCAAUUAAUUUCUACAGCACCCUCCUAGUUCAAAGUGUUUCGCAAACAUCUGCCAGUUGGCACCGGCCAUUACAACAGUUAAGCUUGCAAAAUCAUUUGUUGUCUACUCCCAUCCCCAAAUACAACAUGUUGUUUCUGAUUAGUACAGUAUUUGAUACCUCCGUGUCUGAAAGUAUUGUUUCACACAGAAGGUCUAUCUACCAGUGCUUUCCUUAUCAUCAAACCCCUGAUGAGGGGUGUGAGCUUUUCUUACUGGAAACGUUUCUUCAGACUAUAUAUGGUUUUGUUUUGAUUUUUAAAAAAACACAUAUAAGAUGUUGAUAGAUGGGGGGGUUGUGGUGAAGAAAAGGAUUUGAAAGGAUUUGCAGGCGAAAGAUGGCACAGAUGUGUGCGGCAAAAGAGAAUGGAAUAGAGCAGGGAUGAAGAAUCUGGGGCCCUCCAGAUGCUGCUGGACUGCAACUCCCAUAAUUCCUGUCCACUGGCCAUUCAGGUUGUGGCUGAUGGGCUUUGGAGUCCAAAAAUACCUAGUGGAUGACAGGUUCCCCACCUCUGGAAAAGAGGACCACCCUUUGGAAAGACAAAAGCCAGCCAUUCUCAGACUCUUAACGCUAAUGUUAAUUGGAAUAAGACGUGCCGAUGCCAUUUACGUAACACACAUAUUUUGCAUCAUGUAUACCAAUACCUAUAUUGGGAAUGUGCAAUCUUGGCUUGUGUCUAGACUUAACCAGUGCUACAAAAACCUGUAUGUGGGUCAAGCCUUUAUUUCCCAUGCAGAAGUAACUCCUGAACAGGGAUUUCAUUACAUGCCAAGCAUAAGCACUGGGGUGCCACAGGAACUUCUCGUAAAUCCAUUUCACCAUAUGCAAAUUUAAUACAUGGCCUAUGCCCAAUCAUUUGGCAAAACAAAUCCAGGCAAGCACUCAGCAGCAUCCUACAAAUGAGAGGUGCUGCCUUCAGUAGCUGCAGGUCCAUGGAUCAUAUUGCAACCCCAAUUAACCAGGUGCUUUCCAGAUGAGUUUGGCUACAACUAGCAUGGUCAUGGUGGCUGCAGCUGAUAGGAAUUGUAGUCCAAAACAUAUAGAGGGCACCAGGCUGAUGAAGGUGAUGCACUGCGCUGCAGUUAAUAAUGUGUAUUUAAACUGAAUCCUCUCUCAAAAUAUUUUGGAUGUGCUAGUCCACCAAGCAAUUGGUCUUUCGGGGAUACUAAAUUCAUUGGUUCUGAAGGACUGCCAUCAUAAGAGGAAAGCAGUCUGUUAAGUUUCCAUAGGUACAGUAAAACUUACCAUAGCAAUUCAUUUUAGAUUCUAUAUAUAGGCAUACUGAUGGCUGUGAACAAGGCCAAUGGAAAGAACCAAAAAUGCUGCGCUUGUUUUUGGUAGGUUUCCCCCUGCCUCCCCCCCAAAUCAAGACUAUAUGACUACUUAGGUGUUAUAUGAACCUUCACUACACUAAAGAAGUUUCUAAUCCUAGGUUAAAUUGCUAUGAACAGUGAGAUCCUGCCCAUAACACUCAGGGCUUUUCUACAUUUACCUUUUGCCCUGCCAUUUGCAGGCAGAGGUCAGAGCUUUAACGCUCUGUGUCUGAGUAUUGAGGGUUUUGUGUGUGUGUGUUUUGUUUUUUUUGCAAAGAGCUUUCCCUGCAAAAACCUGCUCUUUAAAGCUGAAUCAGAGCAAAUGUCAAUUUGGGUUUUCCAUGGAUUGUUGUUUGCUCCAACUGAACUUUAAAGAGUGGAUUUUCACAGGGAAAGCUCUGGAGCAAAAAGAAGGGUGCUCGGACACAGAGCUUUAAAUUGUGGACUGUGUCUGGAAAGAGCAGAGGAAAGGUAAGUGUUGAUAAACCCUCAGAUAGCAAGCUUCUAGUGCAUAAAUACUGUGUAGUGUCCAGCUUAUAGGGGCAACUUGAACCUAGGCAAUAACUAAUCAAAACUUGGACAAGGCGGAGAAGAGUACUAGAAGAGAGAUAGCUCAGACGGUAGAGCAUGAGACUCAGAGUCAUGGGCUUGAGCCCCACGCUGGGCAAAGAUACCUGCAUUGUAGGAGGUUGGACUAGAUGACCCUGGGGGUCCCUUCAAAUUCUACAAUUCUAUAAUUCUAAAUAGUCUUGUAAAGAGACUAACCACCAGCCAAGGACAAUCAGAGAUGGAUAUCCUAUUAAUAAGCUCAUUGUGCUAGCCAGAGGCCAUGACAGGUACAUUAUAAAGUUCCUAAAGGCAAACAUAGCAAUAACAUAACAAACGUCAAUAAUAUAAAGGAAGAAAAAUCAAAAGUACCAUCAGCUAGCUCAGCUUCAGAUUUUAAACCCCAAGGCCUCAAAAACAAUUGCUACAAAUAACAUCCUUCUAAGAGCAAACCCACUUCUCUUGAGUGCAGAUCCUUACAUAGCCAAAAUAAUACGUACCAUUAACACACACAAAGGGAUGGAUUGGCAGAUUUGAAGGAACCUCAAGAUUUGCAGAAAUACAAAAAAGUUUUAAGGAGGGGGGAGAGCUAAUUGGGAGUAAUCCCUAAGCAGCCCAGUGAUGACUAAGUAUGCUGAGUGACCACAGAAUGCCAACUCAUUGUUUGGGGUGAGGGGAUGGAAUUAAAUAUCCUGGGGGAAGGCAGGGCUGGGUCUCUGGAACCCCCAAUGGGAACAAUCCACUCCGCAACAUCUUGUUGCAGCUUGCUUUUCUUUUAUGUGAUUUCACAGCCGACGGCUCUAACCACUGGGCUGUACAAUCUCAGGCAUAGUCAGGUUAAAACACCAAGGCUGACGGUCAAGGUAAAAAAUAUAUGUAUAUAAAAAUAAGCGAGACAGGAACAUUCUUCCGUCAGCUAUUUUAGGAACAGGAGGUUUCGAAGUCAGUAGUGCAGUGGUACAUAAAUUGUGAUCACUGAAGCAGAGCAAAGCGUUUUCUGCAAAAGAGGCACACUGCCCUUUUUAGUAAGACAAGAUUAAAACAAUGCAAGCGGGACCUGCAACUAAAUGUUACAGUGCAUCCCCAGUGCCUAAGAGGAGCGUUCCUGUUCCAAGGCUUCAGACAACCUGGAAAAGGAGCCUUACAGUACUUCUGCAGACUUUGAGGAGGAGAGAGAAGUUACAGAAGUGAGGAAGGCAUAAAUAAUGCCUUUCUCAUACACCCCGCCCCACAGCCCCCCAAACCAAAAGAGGGCUAAAGGGUUGCUAGCCGCAUCAAACCUGAGUAUUUUAUAGGUAUCCAAGUGGGAUCUGUAACAAAGUGUUGGAGUGUGGCUGCCAGCCAGCCACGCCCCUUUCCAGGGCACUACAUCCUAUCCUCUCUCCCAACGGUAUGCCUGCAUCUGGGCUCACUGAGAAUACUGUCCUGAUGGGGCUGUUUUUAAGUCUGCCCCCGCACUUACAAUUCCCUUCCCCCUAAAUAUUUUUAGCACUUCUGCAAACCUCAGGGUUCCCCCAAACCUGCCAACACUUCUUUCUCAGAGGACCUCUUUGGCUCUGGGCCUGUCUGCACUGGUCACCUGAGAUGGCUAUUAGAGGGGGGUGAUGACGUGUCUUAAGCUAAACUGGACAGAGAAGCAGCGCUGCAACUAAAAGGGGGUAGAGGGAAAACAGGACAUCUCGAGAAACAGACUUACCCCUGUGUUUUCCAUCCAAACCAGCAGGCAGUUUCCUGGGAUGUAUUUGCACAGUGUGUUGUUGUCUCCUGCCUCUCAUUUAAGACUUCCCCACCCCCACCCCCUGGUUUCCAGAAACCUGAGGCCUUAGGCAUGCACACAGGUAUUUGUUUAUCCGUGCACAUCCAGCCCCACAGGUCGCCCACCCUCCCUGUGCCAUGGAAGCCUGAGGUCCACUGCAGGGUUGCACACAGUCCCCCCCCCCCAAAGCUAUAAUUCUCGGCACCCUUAGCAAACGACAGUUUCCAUGAUUCUUUGUGGGGGAGCCAUGUGCUUUAGAUGCACGGCGUGUCAUGAGAACUUCUGCCGACAUGCUGCUUUAAGUGUUUUCCUUCCCAGCCGUGCAGCAUGACUACAAAGGCCUUUUCGGUGGUGGCCCCUCUGAGUUCUGAGUUCCUUCCCCAAGAGGCUGCACCUGGCAACAAUUUUACAAGUUUUUAGGUACCAGCCAGGCAUUCUUAAUCACCUGGCCAUUUUUGUGUGUGUGUUGUUAAUUGUUUCAAUGUAUAUAGCUCUGAAAAAACUGAAUUUGACAAAAGGGUGGCACAUGUGAAGGCCAAAGAGCAGGCAAGCGCCCUUCUCUUGCUAGUAGUGAUCAGCUAGGGCCCACAGCAAUUCCUUUCUGCAGAGGCAAAAAGGGAGAGGCAAUUAAGUCAGGGCUGGCUGCAUAACAGUAGCAUCUUUGCCCUUCUGCUUCUCUGACAUUUUCAAUUCAUAACUCAAAAAGCAUCCAAAGCCUCAAGAGAUUUUAGGCCAUUUUAAAAGCUGCUAGUGAUUUGGAGAGGGCGAGAGGGAGGAGAUGCAUGUCGCUCUCUUUCUUCUUCGCUGAAAUACUCACAGGUGCCCCCCCCCACUUUGUAUUAGAAAGAAUCAGCAAUUGUGACUGUCACAAAGUGAUGCACAUAUUAGGGGUUGCCAGUAAAUCUCCAGCUUGUUGUACACGAUACCACCCAGGCCCCUGAGCCUUGGAAGGAAGCGAUAAAAUAGCCAAUUUAUGCAGGCUCUUAAAUACACAAUGCAAAGUCACAGUGCCUGCAGCUGUUUUUUCCUGUUCUGUGUUUAUGGCAGGGCACUGAAGUUAACCACUGUAGAAAACAUACCAGGCCUGCUCCCCCUCCCAGACUUUUCCUGCAAGUCGCUGACAAUGCCUCCCUUUGCUACAGGCAGGAAAUGUGCCUGCUCCAACUAUGCAUAGCGCAAGCAUGGAAUUUGGCACCCAGGGCUGGAAAUAAGUCUCGAGAAGCUAAGCUUCUAUCCCUCAUUGUCGCAGAGAACAGUUUCAAGCUGUGAUGAAAACUCUUCAAAUCUGAGACAUGAAAGAGCAUCAGGUCCCAUGAAUCAUGGAGGCAGCCUUAUUUAGAUCCAUUGAAGAAGCACAAGCCCUGCUAGAUCAAACCAACAGCCAAUCUGAUCCAAUAGCCUGCUUCCAGAAGUGGCCAACUGGAUGCCUUUGGGAAUCCCACAAACAGGAUGUGAGUUCAACACCUUUCCUGUUCAUGUUCGCCAACACCUGGUGUUCAGAAGCAUGAUGUCUCUGAUCCUGGAAGUACUAGAUAGUCAAGACUAGUAACCUUUAUGCUCCAUGAAUUUGCCUAUUCCCCUUUGCUUUAAGUUGGUAGCCAGCAUACUUUACCUGCCCCCCCCCAAAGCCAGCAUAGCCAGCAUCACAGCUUAUGGCAACAACAGUAGUGGCAAGUGUCCCUUGAGACUGGUGUAGCAGAUAGCAGGGAGGUCAGGGGUGGGCAGAACCAAAGCGAACUAAUUCUGAUUUUGUCCCCAUCCUCCUCCCUGCUCAGUUCUGCAGGAGGUAAUACUGAGACUAAAGAGGAGGAAGCUGACAGCUAAGGUUGCAGUCUGGACUGGCAGUUGGAGGUUAGGGCAGACAGAGGCUGCUGGGCCAGAGCUCAAAAGGACCAGCCUCCUCUGGGUAGCAAGUUCCAUCCUUUAACUAUGCCCCAUGUUGACAAAGCACUCCUCUAUGAUCUUGUCCUACUAUGCAGCAUCACUGGACACACUAUGAGAGAGGAAGAAGAACGACUGCUCGCUUUCUCCAGAUAUCACCUCCAGGUUACCGAUUGACAACCCUAAAUCAGAAAUAAGACAAGACCCUACUUUGGCUUUCAGUAUUUUGCAACAAGAGAGAGCAUUGUAGUUAGAUGGACAUUGGAGGGAAAACUCUAUGGAGGCAAGACACCAUGGCUUGCAUUCCAUGCAGCAGUAAGUACCGUAUUUUUCGUCCCAUAGGACGCUCCAUCCCAUAGGACGCACCUACUUUUUGGGGGGGGAAAUAAAGGAAAUUUCCCCCCCUUUAUUUCCCCCCCAAAACCAGGUCGGGGAAACCAAACCAGUUCGGGGAACAAGGGUAUGGCGGCGCUGCGCCUCCCCGCUGUCCCCUGAGCUUGUGGGGCUGGCCGAUGUCUGCCCGGCACUAGGGGCGCUCUGCUUCAGGGUGCCUCGCGCAGCAGGCUGCUAUCCGCAGCGUGGGGAGCCCUGCGCGAACUCCUGAAGGGCUGCACACGCUGCGGAUGUCUGCCCGGCGCGAGGGGCGCUCUGCUAUCCGCAGCCUAGGGAGCCCAGCGGGAACUCCUGCAGGCUCCCCAGGCUUGCUGAUAGCUUCCUGAAGCCUGGAGAGCGAGAGGGGUCGGGGCGCACCGACCCCUCUCGCUCUCCAAGCUUCAGCGAAAGCCUGCAUUCGCCCCAUAGGACACACACAGAUUUCCCCUCCAUCUUUGGAGGGGAAAAAGUGCGUCCUGUAGGGCGAAAAAUACGGUAAUUGUCCCAUCUGCACAAGGAUUUACACUUGUGCAAUGGGACGUUUCUCCUCCGCCUGCACAUAGACUCAUCAAAUUGUAGAGUUGGAAGGGACCCCAAGGGUCAUCUAGUCCAAACCCCUACAAUGCAGUAAUCUCAACUAAAGCAUCCAUGACAGAUGGCCACCCACCCUCUGCUUAGAAAUCUCCAAGGAAGGAGAGUCCACCACCGAGUGUGGGAGUUCCUUCCACUGUGAAGCAGCUCUUGUUGUCAGAAAGUUCUUCCUGACGUUUAGUGGGAAUCUCCUUUCUUGUAAUUUGAUUCCAUUGGUUCAAGUCCUACCCUCCAGAGCAGGGGGAAACAAGCUUGCUCCAUAUUCCAUGCGACAGCCCUUUAGAUAUCUGUCUAGCCCCCUCCGCAAAUCUGCUCCACAGGGUUGGGAGAUCCCCCAGAACAGAUUUAUGAGGCAAGCAAAGGGUAGGAGGGUGGGGGGAGCUGAUUUGCACAAGUGUAAUUCCUCAUGCUGACAGGACAGUUAUUUAGCACUGUUCUUGAUACAAGCCCAUGCCCUUUCAAACCAUUCCCAAGAAUCCUUAAUAACGAAUACCUAACAUUUUGUUUGAAGUUUCAUCUACAAAAUUUGAUCCCCAUAGCAAAACCUCUGUAGCAACAGUCAAAGACAAAAUUAAGAGUCUGGCCUCCUCCCUCUUCCUGGCACCAUUUCCUGAAGCUGGCUGGGCAGCCUCCUUGAGGACGCUGGCAGGAACAUUGCUGCCUGGGCAUUUAGGGCUGUCUCAAAGAAAGAGAACUCCUUUAAACCCUUUCUGAUUGCCUUGUGCUGUAAGGAAGUGGGCAAAACUCCCUCCUCUCCAACAAACCCCUUCAGAUCUUGACUCUGUACAUAGAGAGAAGAGGAGCAUGCUAAGAGCCAAGAAAGCGUUAUGUGCAAAAACCAAGGACAAAAAAAAUCAGCUUCAUAAAAAAUCUACAUGUGUCUGCAACAGAAGCAUCUAUGAAGAUAGCAGUGAGUGGUAACGAGCCUUUCAUAUUUGGUUUUUCAGGGUCAAAGCUACUUCCUCAUCCAAAGAGAAAAAGGAUGGGUGUGGCAGGUGAAGAGGCUGGCCACAUGAAGGAAGCAGGCAGCCACCCGUGUGGUUGAAAACAAGACACUUCUAAGGGAAGAGCAGAAGGGGAGAAGCUGGGAGGAUUUACAUUAAAUCACGGG